UGCCCGAUAGCUCAAGUGGUAGAGCGGCCGGCUGUUAACCGGUUGGUUGCAGGUUCGAGUCCUGCUCGGGCAGCCC
rnacentral:tRNA from 1 species